GACAUAGGUGGCGAACGUUAUCCGGAAUUAUUGGGCGUAAAGGAUGCGUAGAUGGUAGAAUAAGUUACUGGUCGAUGCCAAACUCAAUUUGACGGAAGCUGGUAAUACUGUUCUGCUCGAGGACAGGAGAGGUUGAUGGAAUUCUGUGUGGAGCGGUGAAAUGCGUUGAUCUACAGAGGAACACCAAAAAAGGCGAAGGCAGUCAACUAUUCUGAUCCUGACAUUGAGGCAUGAAAGCGUGGGGAGCAAACCGG
rnacentral:rRNA from 1 species